UACGUAGGGCGCAAGCGUUGUCCGGAAUUAUUGGGCGUAAAGAGCUCGUAGGCGGCUUGUCACGUCGAUUGUGAAAGCCCGAGGCUUAACCUCGGGUCUGCAGUCGAUACGGGCUAGCUAGAGUACGAAAGAGGAUCGCGGAAUUCCCGGUGUAGAGGUGAAAUGCGCAGAUAUCGGGAGGAACACCGGUGGCGAAGGCGGUUCUCUGGGCCUGUACUGACGCUGAGGAGCGAAAGCGUGGGGAGCGAACAGG
rnacentral:rRNA from 1 species